rnacentral:rRNA from 1 species
AUACGAAGGGUGCUAGCGUUGUUCGGAAUUACUGGGCGUAAAGAGCAUGUAGGCGGAUAGAUUAGUCAGAGGUGAAAGCCCCGAGCUCAACUCGGGAACUGCCAUUGAUACUGUUUAUCUAGAGACCGAGAGAGGUGAGUGGAAUUCUCAGUGUAGAGGUGAAAUUCGUAGAUAUUGGGAAGAACACCAGUGGCGAAGGCGGCUCACUGGCUCGGAACUGACGCUGAGAUGCGAAAGCGUGGGGAGCGAACAGGAUUAGAAACCCCAGUAGUCC